rnacentral:rRNA from 1 species
GAUGAACGCUGGCGGCGUGCCUAAUACAUGCAAGUCGAGCGAACGGACGAGAAGCUUGCUUCUCUGAUGUUAGCGGCGGACGGGUGAGUAACACGUGAAUAACCUACCUAUAAGACUGGGAUAACUUCGGGAAACCGGAGCUAAUACCGGAUAAUAUUUUGAACCGCAUGGUUCAAAAGUGAAAGACGGUCUUGCUGUCACUUAUAGAUGGAUCCGCGCUGCAUUAGCUAGUUGGUAAGGUAACGGCUUACCAAGGCAACGAUGCAUAGCCGACCUGAGAGGGUGAUCGGCCACACUGGAACUGAGACACGGUCCAGACUCCUACGGGAGGCAGCAGUAGGGAAUCUUCCGCAAUGGGCGAAAGCCUGACGGAGCAACGCCGCGUGAGUGAUGAAGGUCUUCGGAUCGUAAAACUCUGUUAUUAGGGAAGAACAUAUGUGUAAGUAACUGUGCACAUCUUGACGGUACCUAAUCAGAAAGCCACGGCUAACUACGUG